UACAGAGGUCCCAAGCGUUGUUCGGAUUCACUGGGCGUAAAGGGUGCGUAGGUGGCCAUGCAGGUCAGCUGUGAAAACUCGAGGCUCAACCUCGAGACGUCGGUUGAAACCGUAUGCUAGAGUCCGGAAGAGGAGAGUGGAAUUCCCGGUGUAGCGGUGAAAUGCGCAGAUAUCGGGAGGAACACCGGUGGCGAAGGCGGGACUCUGGGCCGAUACUGACGCUGAGGAGCGAAAGCGUGGGGAGCAAACAGGG
rnacentral:rRNA from 1 species